AGAGUUUGAUCAUGGCUCAGGACGAACGCUGGCGGCGUGCUUAACACAUGCAAGUCGAACGGAAAGGCCCCUUCGGGGGUACUCGAGUGGCGAACGGGUGAGUAACACGUGGGUGAUCUGCCCUGCACUUUGGGAUAAGCCUGGGAAACUGGGUCUAAUACCGAAUAGGACCGCAUGCUUCAUGGUGUGUGGUGGAAAGCUUUUGCGGUGUGGGAUGGGCCCGCGGCCUAUCAGCUUGUUGGUGGGGUAAUGGUCUACCAAGGCGACGACGGGUAGCCGGCCUGAGAGGGUGUCCGGCCACACUGGGACUGAGAUACGGCCCAGACUCCUACGGGAGGCAGCAGUGGGGAAUAUUGCACAAUGGGCGCAAGCCUGAUGCAGCGACGCCGCGUGGGGGAUGACGGCCUUCGGGUUGUAAACCUCUUUCAGUAUCGGCGAAGCUCCAGGAUUUUUCUUGGGGUGACGGUAGGUACAGAAGAAGCACCGGCCAACUACGUGCCAGCAGCCGCGGUAAUACGUAGGGUGCGAGCGUUGCCCGGAAUUACUGGGCGUAAAGAGCUCGUAGGUGGUUUGUCACGUUGUCUGUGAAAACUCACAGCUUAACUGUGGGCGUGCGGGCGAUACGGGCAGACUGGAGUACUGUAGGGGAGACUGGAAUUCCUGGUGUAGCGGUGGAAUGCGCAGAUAUCAGGAGGAACACCGGUGGCGAAGGCGGGUCUCCGGGCAGUAACUGACGCUGAGGAGCGAAAGCGUGGGGAGCGAACAGGAUUAGAUACCCUGGUAGUCCAA
rnacentral:rRNA from 1 species